UGUCGAAAACGGAAAUAAAAAAUUGACAAAUUGAUUUUCUUUCUCUUCCUCUCCUUCUCCCUCUAUCUCUCUCUCGAUCGAACUCGCAAUGGAAUCAAAGGAGAUGAAAUCAAAAGAGAUGGAAUUAGGGUUUCUGUGGAAUCCAAUGCUAACAUCGGUGGCUAACAUCACUCUCUGUUUUCCGAUUGCGUUGUUUCCAUCAUCCACGUUCCAUUCUCAUUGACCUCAUCAAUUCUCCAAAACAAAUUUCAAGAAACGGGACAUGGGUCUGCGAAAGGGGAAGACUUUAUGUGAAAUCAGAGGCGAAAACGGAUGAAGCAUCACAAAAAUCUACUACGGUAUCUUGUGAUACGAGCAGCAAGUCAUCUAGCUUCUUGUCUUCUCUUUGUCCACUGCUUAAAGUUUUCUCUGUUCCUUACUUUGUUCUUGGGGUUAGGAAUAACGAUUUGGGGUUUUCUUUGAUUGGUACACGACGAUGGUGAACAAACCUCGAAACUGCAGAGAGAGUAUGAUGGAGAGUAAGAAAGAAGAAGGUGAAGAAGAAGAAGAAGAAGAAGCAAUUGGAUUGAGAGUAAAGAAAGCGGUUUUGUUUCCGCAAGAAGCAGAGAAAGAACUGUGGCCGGAGAACUACAAUAUCUCCGAUCAUGCUUGUCUGACCGUACAAUUUUCUCCUGUCAAAAUGCUUUGUAGCUAAGUUUUGUUUGUUACCGGCUCUUUGUGAAAAAAAAUGUAAAGAAUCACUGAGAGUGAGAAUUGCACUGAGAGAAGAUUACAAAACCUUAAACCUUUGUAAUUUUGUAUAGUUUUUCUUUUUAUAAUUGCAUCA